AGAGUUUGAUCCUGGCUCAGAUUGAACGCUGGCGGCGUGCUUUACACAUGCAAGUCGAGCGGCAGCAUGACCUUCGGGUCGAUGGCGAGCGGCGAACGGGUGAGUAAUACAUCGGAACGUACCUUUUAGUGGGGGAUAACGCAUCGAAAGAUGUGCUAAUACCGCAUAAUCUCUGAGGAGGAAAGGCGGGGAUCACGUAAGUGACCUGUCGCUGAAAGAGCGGCCGAUGGUCGAUUAGCUAGUUGGCGGGGUAAAAGCCCACCAAGGCGAUGAUCGAUAGCGGGUCUGAGAGGACGAUCCGUCACACUGGGACUGAGACACGGCCCAGACUCCUACGGGAGGCAGCAGUGGGGAAUUUUGGACAAUGGGGGCAACCCUGAUCCAGCAACGCCGCGUGAAUGAAGAAGGCCUUAGGGUUGUAAAGUUCUUUUGUCAGGGAAGAAAGUUUCUGUGCUAAUACCAUAGAACGAUGACGGUACCUGAAGAAUAAGCACCGGCUAACUACGUGCCAGCAGCCGCGGUAAUACGUAGGGUGCAAGCGUUAAUCGGAAUUACUGGGCGUAAAGCGUGCGCAGGCGGAUAUGUAAGUUAGAAGUGAAAUCCCCGGGCUCAACCUGGGAACUGCUUUUAAGACUGCGUAUCUAGAGUUUGUCAGAGGGGGGUGGAAUUCCAAGUGUAGCAGUGAAAUGCGUAGAGAUUUGGAGGAACACCGAUGGCGAAGGCAGCCCCCUGGGAUAAAACUGACGCUCAUGCACGAAAGCGUGGGUAGCAAACAGGAUUAGAUACCCUGGUAGUCCACGCCCUAAACGAUGUCUACUUGCUGUUGGGGGUAACCUUAGUAGCGAAGCUAACGCGAGAAGUAGACCGCCUGGGGAGUACGGUCGCAAGAUUAAAACUCAAAGGAAUUGACGGGGACCCGCACAAGCGGUGGAUGAUGU
rnacentral:rRNA from 1 species